UACGGGGGGGGCAAGCGUUGUUCGGAAUUACUGGGCGUAAAGGGCUCGUAGGCGGCCAACUAAGUCCGACGUGAAAUCCCCAGGCUUAACCUGGGAACUGCGUCGGAUACUGGAUGGCUUGAAUUCGGGAGAGGGAUGCAGAAUUCCAGGUGUAGCGGUGAAAUGCGUAGAUAUCUGGAGGAAUACCGGUGGCGAAGGCGGCAGCCUGGACCGACAUUGACGCUGAUGAGCGAAAGCUAGGGGAGCAAACGGG
rnacentral:rRNA from 1 species